GCGUGGCGGCAUCGAGGUUCACAUACCCGCCCCCACCGCCCCGUCGUUCCGGUCCCAGUGCUGCGGGAGUUCCCGCCGCGGCCGGAAGUGCAUAACGCUGCACAAGCACGCGUUACCAGACAACGGUGACGUGCAAUUCAUAAUUUUUCUCGUCAUAUUCACAAUCAUCACAAUCAUCAUACAUAUUCAUAUCAUAUCAUCGUGAGUUUGCAUUUUAUAACACUGUACAUCAUAAUAUCAUUUAAAAUAUCUACCUGUCUUCUAAACUAUUAAUAUUGUGUAUAUAACUAAAAUAUAAUAACCAUGUAAAAUAAAAAUGAUUGUGUCCAUUUUGUGUUGUAAAUUUUUUUUUAUAUGUAAAAUAUUAUGUAAUGUGUAACACGCCAUGUAUAACCUAUAAUCAUAUCAUAUUUAAAUAAUGUCUACCUAUGUACCUGCUUUCAUUUUGUAAGUUUCUAUACAUCGUUGUUAAAUAUUUACUGUACCUACCCAUGUUUAUUGCAAAAUUAUAAAAUGUAUAAUAUUA